CCGCACUUAGCUUCCGCGGAGGCCUCUACCAGUUCCGGCGCUCCGCUCUCAUGCGCCGGCACGACAGGACGUCGUGGUGGCCAAGGCGGCGGGCUGGCGGGUUUGUCUUUUCCAGCCACACGCGCACGGUGUCAUUGAGAGCAGCACACUCCGCGGAGCGCACUAAUUUUUCUGGAAUUCCGAGAAUCUCACGCACGGUCUCGGCCUGGAGCUCCGUUUGUUUCCAGGCGAUUGGUGGAUUUGUUUGGGGAAUCCAGUUCCUCUUAUGCCCAAAUUUUGUUGGCGGAAUCGGUUGGCCAGAGGAGCAAGGUUAGGGCAGUGACGGGAAGAGAGACUGGUCGCAAUGACGUCCCUGUCGCGGAUGCUCUCCCUGGCCGGCCCAAUGCAGCCGUCGGGGCCUCGCCGGAUUUCGAGGACACAGACCGCCGUCAACCUCGGCGAGCCCAUCUUCGACAGUGAGGUGGUGCUGUCGUCGCUCGUGGAGAUCGCGCCAAUCCUCCGUGUCACCAAAGAGGUCGAGGCGGCCAACCCCCGCGUCGCCUACCUCUAUUGAUGCGGAACUUGAUGCACCAUAGUGUACAUGAUGCACCUUCACUACUGUUCAGAUUGGGUAACUCGUUCGGUUCCAUAACACGCUCAUCCACGCGACGCACGGAGGCAGACACAUUGGUCACCUGGAAGACAGAGCAGGAGGACGCCGCGCCCAGCGGACCAUGGGACAAUGCGCCUUGGGGGCCGAUGGGGUGGCACGUCGUGGGUGCCGGCAAGUGUGGCUGCAAGUGGCUUCUAAGGUGUGAUCUACCUGCAAUAAUCAAUAAUGUAUUAAUCCUGCACUCAUGUAUCCAAAGUGAUAUUCUCACAAAUUACUGGAGUUCGGCUGCUCCCUUACAUAGCAAGACUGCUACUACUACUACAGAUUAAAUGUUGUAUACAUGUAGCCUAUACUAACAUAGAAGAUAUUAAACAUUGUUCUGUGUACUGACAUAGCAGUAAUAUAAGGCAAGACAUUUGAAGGAUUGCUCACACUAAAAUAAGAAAUUGUACUGAACUUAAAAUAAGAUUUGCACUGAACUAACACUAGAAUUUGAACUGAACUAAAAUAGAUCUUUGUUUACCUUUCAAAAAAAAUAGGUCUUUGUUUAGGCAUUUAAGCAAACACCCGACAGCAAAAAAAGUGACUGACAUUUAGAAAUAAAGACGAUGGUAUAGAAAAAUUCAUGCAAGAAUGAGAAGUACGACUCCGACAUUUUAGCAACAAACAAAUGACUAGGGUAGCAAAUGUUCAAACUGAAACAAACCCAUUUCUCUCUCAUAUUAACUCUUUGUCCAUGGAUCCAUGUGCUGUAGCAUGUGAACUCCAAAGCUAGCAAUAGUAGUAGCUUCCAUAUUGUAUAUCCCAAUCCCAGGCUGCAUGACUGCCAUGGACUCAUAACAAACCACUUAUGCAUUUUAAACAAACACCUAGAAGGCACGGCAAAUGUGCCAAAAAAAUCAAUUAUUGAGUUGCAUACUAGUGAGCCAACCAUAGAAUAGAGCGAAUGGAAGAGCUUGAACAAUCCACAACAUACACACACGAGAAUUGAGUUUCUGAAAAGAAUUUUAGUUAUGAUGUGCUGAACUAAAACCACGUCAACAAUUUGCAAACAGAGGUAAUAAUAUACUAUAGGAGGAAUUUAUUUAAAUGUUUUUCAAUUUUUUGAACUUACGGUUCUCGCGAUUCCAAACAUCUAGAUUUCUGUUCUACGAAUAUCUUGACUUUUUCCUAGUGACAAAUAAAAACGCUAUAAGAAGUAGUACUGAAUUCCUGCAUCACGCCUUCAAGGGUGAACCACACUGGAAGCUUGACCAAAAUCCUCAUUGGAGUUUAUAUUUGAACUAGCCACGGUUUAUUUUUUGAGCUUACCUGGUAGUAAUACAUGAACUCUAGCACCCAAUACAAGUAUCAUGCGACAAUAUGUAAACAAAAAAGAUGCAGGUUAAAACAAAAGUUGAAAUAGCAGACAAACUCGAAGAUGCUAGCAUCAACGAUCUUCUAACUGAAGCACCAUAGGUUCCCAAUUUAAUACCACUACAGAGUACUACAAUAAUUCUGUCAAAAUUAAGUACACAAAGAACCUGCACAUCAAUCCAUCACAGGAUCAUCCAUUUUACAUUCCAUCCCCAAAUAUGCCAUCUAAAUUCAGAGUUGGAAGCUCUCUAAAUUAAGCCAUCUAAAAACUAA